rnacentral:lncRNA from 1 species
UCUUCGGUGUUGUCUGGAAGGGCCCUCUCUUCCGGGAAGGCCCUUCCUCUCACUCUCGGGAGGCCCGGCUCCUGCAGGAGCCACUUUCCAGAAAAUCCCCAGUCGUCUGACAGGUCCCCGAAGGGAGCCCCUCACCCCCCGCCCCCUGCCACCAGCAUCUUUGCCCGGGAGGGGACAGGGCGACAUGGGAGCAGCGGGAGCAGCUGAUUCAGCGCUCGUGGGCCUGCCCCUCCCCCAGCCCCCGCCGGGCAGCGUGCCCAGGCAGGCUGGCAGCUGUGGCACACAGGGCCUCUGGCAGGAUUGCUGUGGCUCUCGCUGUGUGGCCUGCACUGCGCCUGGGGGGUGGCGGGCUGACGCUGGGAGGGCCUGCGCGGGCAGGCGGGCUGCCAGGCGCCCUGGUGCGGUGGCAUCCACGGCCUGAUGCAGAAGAGGCCACUGCGGUCCCAGAAAUCAGCCUGUCCCAAACCAGGAGAUGGCGGACAACCACCCCCGGCCUCGUGUGGUCUCCCGAGAGCCCAGGUCGGGAGAAUUCCACAGCUGCUGGCUGGUCAAGCCACCUACCAGCCUGAUCGAGGUGGCCUGGAGCCCUGGGGUGGGAACAGGCUGAAAGGGGCAGGCGCUGCUACUGGUGGGGACCAGCCAGCUGAUGAGAGCAGCCUGGGCCAAAUGGGGCAGAACGAGAGGCAGCACCCCUAAGGACCCAGAGUGGCAGGUGGCCCGGGCGGACCCUGGGGCAGACCCUGAGCCCGGGCAGGAGGAUGCUGGCUCUGUCCGCCACGAGGGCCCCGUAGGCACGUGUGACGGAGAUGUGGGACCGUCCUCGGGUCCCCAGCCCAGGGAGGGCCACCGGGGGGUUGGGGGCGAGCAUUGGGGAGGCACAGCCUGGAGGCGGGGACUGGGCAGCCACCCCAGAUCAUCCCUCUGGACCCAGCAGUCCUGUGGGCCCUGCAGUCCUGUGCCACCUGCUGUGGUCGGUGGCUCUGUCAGCGAACGUCUUCGGACAAAGCCCCAGAGGCCGAUACGAGUGUCUGAAGAGUCCAGGCCACGUUCCCAUCAGCCGCACGGGACCCUUGCUCCCUGCGGGACGAGGCCGGCCCUCCUGCCUUCUUAGACCCUUAAUGACCAGUCCUGGCUGAAAAGCCGCGUGACCAGUGCCACAGAAUCUAUCAGUCCAGGCUCGUCCCUGGGAGGAGGUAUGUCCCCUGCUGAGGGCUGGGGGGCACGGCCUGGGCUCCCAGGAGGCUGGCGGGGCUACGGGCCCUUCCCUCCUGGGGACCCGGAAGUUGGCUGUCCUUCCGCAGCGAAUGCCACCUCCCUGGGCAGCGUGCGGUGACCUUCCUGGUAGGAACACCAGCUGCCCUGGUGAGGGAUUCACGCCUCUGCCCAAGGUUCACCUGUGGGGAUCACUUUGCAGAACCAAGGGGGCCUCUGUGGCUGGAGGGGGCUGCGGGCGGCCCUGCGGUGACGUCACUCUGGGCUUCGCGUCUGAGUUCUGUUCCAUCCCCACCGCGGCAGAUGCUAACGCGAGUUCUUUGUGUGUUUCUCAAGUCGUGACCCUGUUUUCGGGUUCCCUCCAUGCAUAAAAGCACCGCAGCAAACUCGCUUAUCCGCACUCGGGGGCCGAGUCAGCCUGUCCCGAGCAGACAGGUCCCUGAGGUGAGUUUCGGAGCGGCCGUGGCCCCGUUCGCCCCUGCACCCCUCCCCGUGCUGGGCGGCUGGGCGGUGCGUGCGUGUGUGCGCGAGUGUGCGUGUGUGCACGUGAACACGUCUGAGAGCGUCUUCCCUUUUGAGUCCUGCCCUGUUCACAGGGCUCCGGGCAGGGCGGGUGGACAGUCCCGGCCCUGCCACCCUCUGGGCCCCGGGCUCCCUGUCGGUGCUCCUGGGGAACAGGAGGCCCCUGACGGCCCUGGUCCCCGUGCUCCUGCCCAGGAGGCAGUGGCCGUGCAAAGGCCCCGCUUCCCACCGGGCUCAGCUGGCCGCCGGCCGAGCUGGUUCACACGAGGACGGGGCUGGUGCCCUGCCCACAGCUGCUCCUCGGGCGAGAUAAGGGAGAGGAAACGGAAUCUGGACUCCCAGCCCGGGCGGCAGGGUUGCUGGGCGGCUGGGCCCGGAGCCGGUGGGGAGGGCCGUGGGAGUACAGCCCAAGGCCAGUGCUUCCUGGCGGGUGGGAGCUGCAGGGAGGGGGUGCCGUGGGCUCACCACGUGCCCUGCCACCCGGAUGGCCCGGCGGCCGUGUUCUCUGGGAUGGUGCGGGCGCCCUGCCUCGGGACAGGUCUUUGGCCCCCGUCUCGACCUCAGGGGCACUUCCUGGGCAGGGGGGCACAGCCUGUGGCAGGAUGUCGGACCUGUCACGGAGACCUGGCAUCCUGCACAGAGCUGUCUAGGGAAGGGGAGUGAGUGGAGGGGUUGUUGUCUCAGCGCUUUCGGGGCAGAGUAUCCCGGAGCUGCUGGCUCAUAAACGGCCAACAUCUGUUUCUCACAGUCGUGGAGGCUGCAGGUCCAAGGUCCUGGGGCCGCAGAUGAGGUGUCGGGGCGACGGUGGGGUGCAGCUUCUGUGAGCUCACGGCGGAAGGGCAGGCACCCUCUGCGGCCUCCUUCAUAAGGACACGAGAUGACCUCCCAAUACCUUCCCGGAGGUUAGGGUUUAACAGAUGAACCUGGGAGCCGCACCCACAUUCAGACGGCAGCGUGUCCUUUGUGUGCCCAGGGCUGGCACUCAGGACGCCCUCCAGUUUCUGAACACGGUGUCCAGGGUCACUCAAGGCCAUCGUAAGCUGGGUCUCCCUCCACAAGUGGCCACGGGUGUCCUGAGUGCUGAGUUAUUCCUGGAAAGGCUGCGCCGCUGUUUAGGACUUGGCCCCGUAAGUCCUUCUACUUGUCUCACCUGGGUGUCUCUAGCUGCUGCUGCUGCGGAAGACUUUCCCUGUCCUGUGUGCAUCCUGUCCGCUGCCUCCUUCCUCCUGGCAGCGUGUGCCCAGCUCUCACCUGCACCCCACAAAGGCACUGACUGUCCCUCACACUGCGGCGGCCGCCCUGCGUGAGUCGGCCAGGCCCUGCUGCCCCUCCUGCAAGGAGGGUCAGCACCACAGCCGCCCGGCCCGCAGCCUUCUUGGGAGCAGGCGGCAGCAGCUGCCUAACAGCUGCACUAAAUGUUAGAGGGAAAUUUAGGACAAAAGAGGAAGACGAUUGGCGCAUCCGAUUUAAACUGAGGGGAGGCAUCCAGAAGCCAAAACAGUGCUGCCCUAAUUCACGCGCAGAGCGAGCCACGGGUUUGCAGCCUCUGACAGGAAACCAAAAUACUCACCCAGUUUCCUUCUGUGCGAGGGAUCCAGACUCACCUGACAAGGAGCCUGCAGACGUCCCCUAACCUCUGCGGGGCGGCCUCAGACACCCUCGGGCCGCAGGGUCAGAGGCGCACGUGUGCUGGACUGGCCGGAGCGUCUGCCCUGCAGGCCGGGUUGAGGCCGGGAGGGCAUGUGGGAGGAGCCAGAAGCACCUGGGCAGACAGGUGCCCUGCCCGCAGCUCCAGCUCCAGCUCCAGCCCAAAGCCCGGCGUUCCUGGGCCCUCGCACCCCAGUCAUGGGUGGGCUCUCGGCCCAGGCCCCCAGCUGGGGGAGGUGGUCCCGUGGGAGCAGAGCCUGUCCCCAGGGAAGGGCUUAGGGGGAGGGGUCUGGGGGAGGACCUGAGGUGGCAGGCCUUAUCUCAGAGCUGCCUUCAGCCACCUAAAGCCCCUAGAUGAGGGCCCCACCCUCGGUGGAACCGCCAGGCCCAGCUGGCUGUCGGGGGCUGAUCUGUAGAAAGUGAGUGGCGGUGACGGUGGUGGCGGCCGGGGCGGGGGGCCUCUGGCUCCCCCUCCCCACCAUGGACCGGGCUCUGAGCGGCCACUCCUGCUGGCCUCGUCUCGGCCUCCAACUCUGACACAGGGUCGGUGCUGGGCGGAGUGUGGGAACCUCCGGUUUCCGGAGCCCAUCGGAGCCUCAACCACAGACCCGCAGUAAGACCCCGAGAGGGAUGUGCCUUCAGCCCCGUCCAUGAGGCAAGGGGACAGGGGGAAACAACUCCCUCUGCCCGGGGUCGGGGCGAAGUGCAUUAUGUGAAAAGGGCUUCUAAACCCAGCUCCGGUUCACCCUUCCACUUCGAGCGUGUAAGAUGCCGGCGGCGGGGAAGGAGCUCCUGCUGCGGCACAGCGCUCACGAACCCGACCAGAAUCCAUGAGGACGCAGGUUCGAUCUCUGGCUUCACGCUAUGGGUUAAGGAGCCGGCGUUGCCAUGAGCUGUGGUGUAGGUCACAGACGCAGCUCAGAUCCAUCACUGCUGUGGUGUACACCGGCAGCUGCAUCUCCAAUUCGACCUCCAUAUGCCGCACGUGCGGCCCCAAAAAGACAAAAAACAAAAAAGUCCGGCAGAGGGUAGAGUUCCCAAGUGGCCUAGUGGUUAAGGACUUGGCGUCGUUACUGCUUUGGCUUGGGUUCAGUCCCUAGCCCCCAUGUCCAGGGGGUCCCUCCCACUGUGGAGACUAAAGGGGGGCAGCCAGGUGAGCCAUCAAGAAGAAAGGCACCGUCCCCUGGGGUCGGCACCUGUUCCCACCCGCCUGCUGCCUGGACUCAGGCAAGCCCCCCACCCCAAAAGCCGAGGGUCACUCGGGUGGGGGAGCGAUGGGGGGAGCAGGGAAGGUUCCCCCAUGGCAGGGGCAUGGCGCCAGGCCCUGCACCCUCAGCCUCCUUGCUCCGGGGCCGACAUGCAGCUCCCUGCUUCCCGGGACCCAGGAAACGUACGAGAGCCUCGGCCCUUCCCUGAGCCUGAGAACAGAGGCGGAGGAGGAGGAGCCACGCUGGGGUGACCCUCGGGCUCCCCGCUUCCCACUGGGCCUUGGCACCUCCCACCAGGCCCCCCACCUCCCCAGAGGCCACAGGGCCUGGGCACAGAGCCCCUCCAUGCCCGUCUCCCGGGCUCGGGCUGUGCUGGGAGUGGACCCAGCGGCUCUGACCAAACAUUCACCUUCCCUACCAGGUGGGUCGGAACCAGGCAGAACCAGCCCCUUCCCCGCUCGCCUGUUCCUCGAGACAGCCGGGCACCUCCUCUCGGGGCCCCGCAUCCCAUUUUGUUUUGCCUUGUGGGAAGCACGCGUAACCUGAGAUGUACCUGUGUCACCACUUUGAGCGCACAGCUCAGUGGCCUCGAGCCGGUCCCUCUGGUGUAACCACCACCGCACCCACCUCUGAGAUUCGCUCAUUUCCCAAACCGAAGCUCUGUCCCCAUUAAACACCCGCUCCCCCUCCCUCAGCCCCGGCAUAAAUAAACAAAUAAAUCUCCACC